GUCGCUCUGAAGGUACCCCAAAGGUAAUCCUCCGGCGGAUUAAAACAGUCAAACAUAGAGGUACAUAAUAAAACAAGCACAUUUUUUUUUUUGUAAAGUUAUACACAAUCUGGUUUUACAUUACGUAGGUAUUGUUAGGAUAUGACAGAACGUAGUUAGAAAGUUGGCGAUCAAAUUUAAUAACUUGCUAAUGUUUCUCAGGCUUGGACAUUUCUAUAGUUAGUUACAAGUUAAACUGGCUUAAACAUGUGUGGUUGUAGUUCGCUAUAACAGGUAAUAUAAAAAGUGUUUCAGUCGUUCUCACAAGCAUCGCAACGGAUUAUAUCUCAGUAGGACAAACAGAGAGCGCGUUUACUCUACUCUGUUCUUUAUAGGCACUAUGUUUGGUUACACAUAUGUACAUAGCAGUAUUUUAGGCAUUCUCGCUGACAUUACGUCUGAUGAUCUCUUAGUCUAUCGGGCCUGGGGGGUGUUAGUAUGCGGUCGGUUGGCCGCUCUACGGGAGUGUGCGCACGCUGCCGUGUCUAGGGUGAAGCCUAGUGUGUGAGAACAAUGAAAAGCAGAAGAAUACAAUUAUACAAAAUUAUAACCAUAAGUAAAAAUAAAACAUGUAUAGGCUAG